rnacentral:tRNA from 4 species
CGGGGCGUGGCGCAGCCCGGUAGCGCACAGGACUGGGGGUCCUGGGGUCGGAGGUUCAAAUCCUCUCGCCCCGACCA